UAAAAAAAAGUGUAAAAACUAGUGUGAUUUUUAGCCUACUAGUACGAAUAACGAUGAUCACAUUCACUAUAGGCAUAAGUGUAUGGCUAUUUUCUGAACUGCAGAAGAUAGUCACUGUUGGAUUUCUGAGUAAAACCAAGGGCUAGUAACAUAACAACAGAUGCUAGUUCAUUUAAAGGAAUAAUUGCUAAAACGGCUUGCCAUACAUAAGGGGCCAACCUCUCCGCACCGUGAUCCAUAAAUGUUUAUGUCUUCUAAUCAUCUGUAACGUGUACUGUGGUGAAGACUGCUGGAGCGGCGUCUCUUCACAGUGAACAUAAACCUCAGCCAGACUUCAACAUGGGAGGGGUGGCAGUCGUGUCGUUGGACUUUUAGAAGUUUACAUGAUGUUUUUUUUCUGUCUCAUUAUUUUCGUUGUUUCUUCUUCCGUACAUACAUUUGUAAACAUGUUGAGGCGGGAAGGCGUACACUUUUCCCUGUGUGCCCACGGACAGCGAUGAUGGGACAGUUGUGCUGGAUGUGUAGUCAGUGACAGGAUGGAUAUCAGCGGGAUCCUCUCUAUUGCUGCUGUCCUUCGUUUCUCUAUCAGUGUCUACGGCGAGGCAGGACAAAGCACUGUGUACCUAAAUACACUGCAGAGCUCAGCCUGGACAGGUUUGUGCGCUGACAUCCUUAGGGCAGGAUGCUGAAAUAUACUCAACCUUCCCACAGAAUCGUCAACCUACUCCCAGUUCAUGCUGGGGCAGUGUGAGAUUCCUCUAUGAUUGCCUCAUCUGGAGACUUAUUUUACUCAGACCAGCAGUCUAUGCUGUUAAACGUCUUAUAUUUAGACCCUUGUGGUACCACCAGGAGUCUUGUUGGUGGUCUUUAUCGUGCUCUAUAACCGUAUCACCAUGGAAAAUAUGACUGGAACUCUACCCUGAUGCUAUUUCAGCAAAUAGCUUUACUGUAUGUCCAGACCGACAUACAGUGUGGAACAUGAGCUCUCACAAGACGAGACAUGAGUGUGUACAAGAAAAGAUUCAGGACUGUUGAACUAUUCACCUGCCAGUGUACAAGAAUGGAAACUAUUUAUAAUGUCUAAACAUAUUUUAUUAUAAAAUGUAAUGGUGUACAGAAGACCAAUCAUGCUAAAGCCAUUAAAAGAAACACCA
rnacentral:lncRNA from 1 species